AGCGGCCCGGCAGCCGCGCAGGCGCUAUGCAGGCAGACGUUGUACAGGCGCAGAGCGUGUGGAAUGGUCGCACGCGUGCCUCUCGCGCAGGCGCGGUGGGUAGAGAAGGAGGUUCGGGCAUCCAUUGUCGGGGUUGAGCUCAGUCUGGAUCAUUCGCCCUACAUCUCCGCCAAACGUCUGUCAGUCCAUCUGCCAACCUGACUGUCCAUCCAGGUCACUGUCCGGUAACCACGGGCCUAUGCUCAUCGGUGCGCGCCGGCUGAAGUCAGGGGCGAGGGUUUCGCAGAAAUACUAGCAAACCAGCUGCCGACCCACGACUCACGGUGGUUCCAGCGUCCGCAGGUGACUCCCGCGAGGCCCUUGCUUCCUCUCCGUCUCCACCCACCAUCUAGAUACCCGUCCCGGAGCCACACCCGGACCUCGCCAGUCACUGGAGGCCUCUAGAGCUGCGGAGCGACUCUGCAUUUUCCCGGUCACGCCGCGUGCCUACUCACCUGGAUGGCUGUUCACACCCCAACCCCCUCAGAACUCCCAACAGAAUCUUCCUGUCUCCCUACCUUCCGACCCUUCUUGUUUAAUAAAAAUUAGCAAAUAAA